AUCAGGUACAGUAGUAUAUUAUCAGUAUCUACUGUUAUAUUAUCAGGUACAGUAGUAUAAUAUCAGGAACAGUAGUAUAAUAUCAGGUACAGUAGUAUAAUAUCAGGUACAGUAGUAUAAUAUCAGGUACAGUAGUAUAAUAUCAGGUACAGUAGUAUAAUAUCAGGUACAGUAGUAUAAUAUCAGGUACAGUAGUAUAAUAUCAGGUACAGUAGUAUAAUAUCAGGUACAGUAGUAUAAUAUCAGUAUCUACUGUUAUAAUAUCAGGAACAGUAGUAUAAUAUCAGGUACAGUAGUAUAAUAUCAGGUACAGUAGUAUAAUAUCAGGUACAGUAGUAUAAUAUCAGUAUCUACUGUUAUACUAUCAGGUACAGUAGUAUAAUAUCAGGUACAGUAGUAUAAUAUCAGGAACAGUAGUAUAAUAUCAGGUACAGUAGUAUAAUAUCAGUAUCUACUGUUAUACUAUCAGGUACAGUAGUAUAAUAUCAGGUACAGUAGUAUAAUAUCAGGUACAGUAGUAUAAUAUCAUGAACAGUAGUAUAAUAUCAGGUACAGUAGUAUAAUAUCAGGUACAGUAGUAUAAUAUCAGGUACACUAGUAUUAUAUCAGGUACAGUAGUAUAAUAUCAGGUACAGUAGUAUAAUAUCAGGUACAGUAGUAUAAUAUCAGGUACAGUAGUAUACUAUCAGGUACAGUAGUAUACUAUCAGGUACAGUAGUAUAAUAUCAGGUACAGUAGUAUACUAUCAGGUACAGUAGUAUAAUAUCAGGUACAGUAGUAUACUAUCAGGUACAGUAGUAUACUAUCAGGUACAGUAGUAUAAUAUCAGGUACAGUAGUAUAAUAUCAGGUACAGCAGUAUAAUAUCAGGUACAGUAGUAUGAUAUUCAAGCGAGGGUUGCCUUCCAGAGAGACAUCAGAGAUUGUAACAUUCUCGGUUUAACCGAAACGUGUCUCUCUCGGGAGAUGUUGUCGGAAUUGGUUCAGCCACCGGGCUUCUCCCUGUAUCGCGCCGACAGAGAUAAACCCCUCUCUGGGAAGAGGAAGUGCGGAGGUGUAUAUGCUUCAUGAUUAAUGACUCAUGGUGUGAUCAUAACAACAUACAGGAACUCAAGUCCUUCUGUUCGACCCGACCUAGAAUUCCUUACAAUCAAAUGACGGCCAUUCUACCUACCAAAGAGAAUUCUCGUCAGUUCUAGUCACAGCUCAAGCGAACACCAAGACGGCCCUCAUGGAACGUCACUGGACUCUAAUGUAACCUGGAAACUAAAUAUCUGGAGGCUGCAUUUAUUGUUGCUGGGAUUUUAAAAUGACAUACUCAAAUCUAACUGCCUGUAACUCAGGCCCUGAAGCAAGGAUAUACAUAUUCUUGGUACCAUUUGAAACACUUUGAAUUUUGUGUAAAUGUGAAAUUAAUGUAGUAGAAUAUAACACAAUAGAUCUGGUAAAAGAUAAUACAAAGAAAAAAACAUCCGUUCUUUUGUACCGUCAUCUUUGAAAUGCAAGAGAAAGGCCAUCAUGUAUUAUUCCAGCCCAGCUGCAAUUUAGAUUUUGUACCACUAGAUGGCAGCAGUGUAUGUGCAAAGUGUUAGACUGAUCCAAUGAACCAUUGCAUUUGUGUUCAAGAUUUUGUAUCAAGACUGCCCAAAUGUGCCUAAUUGGUUUAUUAAUAACUUUUCAUGUUAAAAACUGUGCACUCUCCUCAAACAUGGCGAGUACAUACAGUGUCUUUGGGAAAGUAUUCAGACCCCUUGACCCCUCUAAAACGGAUUAAAAAUACCCUCAGUCUACGCACAAUACCCCAUAAAGACAAAGCAAAAAAACAGGUUUAUAGAAAUGUUAGCAAAUUUAUUAAAAAUGGAAAACCCCCAAAAUAUCACAUUUACAUAAGUAUUCAGACCCUUUACUCAGAACUUUGUUGAAGCACCUUUUGGCAGCGAUUACAGCCUCUAGUCUUCUUGGGUUUGACGCUACAAGCGUGGCACACCUGUAUUUGGGGAGUUUCUCCCAUUCUUCUCUGCAGAUCCUCUCAAGCUCUGUCAGGUUGGAUGGGGAGCGUCGCUGCACAGCUGUUGUCAGGUCUCUCCAGAGAUGUUCGAUCGGGUUCAAGUCCGGGCUCUGGCUGGGCCACUCAAGGACAUUCAGAGACUUGUCCAGAAGCCAUUCCUGCAUUGUCUUGGGUGUGUGCUUAGGGUCAUUGUCCUGUUGGAAGGUGAACCUUCGCCCCAGUCUGAGGUCCUGAGCACUCUGGAACAGGUUUUCAUCAAGGAUCUCUGUUCUUUGCUCUGUUCAUCUUUCAUUCGAUCCUGACUAGUCUCCCAGUCCCUGCCGCUGAAAAUCCCCACAGCAUGAUGCUGUCACCACCAUGCUUUACAGUAGGGAUGGUGCCAGGUUUCUUCCAGAUGUGAUGCUUGGCAUUCAGGACAACGAGUUCAAUCUUGGUUUCAUCAGACCAGAAAAUCUUGUUUCUCAUGGUCUGAGAGUUCUUUAGGUACCUUUUGGCAAACUCCAAGCGGGUUGUCAUGUGCCUUUUACUGAGGAGUGGCUUUCGUCUGGCCACUAGACCAUAAAGGCCUGAUUGGGAGAGUGCUGCGGACAGCUCUAGGAAGAGUCUUGGUGGUUCCAAACUUCUUCCAUUUGAGACUGAUGUAGGCCACUGUGUUCUUGGGGACCUUCAAUGCUGCAGAAAUGUUGUGGUACCCUUCUCCAGAUCUGUACCUCGACACAAUCCUGUCUCGGAUCUCUACGGACAAUUCCUUCAACCUCAUGGCUUGGUUUUUGCUCUGACAUGCACUGUCAACUAUGGGACCUUAUAUAGACAGAUGUGUACCUUUCCAAAUCAUAUCCAAUCAAUUGAAUUUACCACAGGUGGACUCCAAUCAUGUUGUAGAAACAUCUCAAGGAUGAUCAACGGAAAUUCUAAAAAAAUGUUUUUUUUUUCAUUAUUGGAUAUUGUGAUGUCAUUAUGGUGUAUUGUGAUGUCAUUAUGGGAUAUUGUGAUGUCAGUAUGGGAUAUUGUGAUGUCAUUAUGGUGUAUUGUGAUGUCAUUAUGGGGUACUGUCCAGUUGUAGAAACAUCUCAAGGAUGAUCCAUGGAAACAGGAUGCACCUGAGCUCAAUUUCGAGUCUAUUUAUUAUUUUUAAUACAUUUGCAAACAUUUCUAAAAACCUGUUUUCGCUUUGUUAUUAUUGGGUAUUGUGUGUAGAUCGAUGACAAUUUGUAUUUAUUUAAUCCAAA